CCUACGGGGAGCAGCAGUGAGGAAUAUUGGUCAAUGGGCGCGAGCCUGAACCAGCCAAGUAGCGUGAAGGAUGACUGCCCUACGGGUUGUAAACUUCUUUUAUAAAGGAAUAAAGUGAGGCACGUGUGCCUUUUUGUAUGUACUUUAUGAAUAAGGAUCGGCUAACUCCGUGCCAGCAGCCGUGGUAAUACGGAGGAUCCGAGCGUUAUCCGGAUUUAUUGGGGUUAAAGGGAGCGUAGAUGGGUUGUUAAGUCAGUUGUGAAAGUUUGCGGCUCAACCGUACAAUUGCAAUUGAUACUGGCAGCCUAGAGUACAGUUGAGGUAGGCGGAAUUCGUGGUGUAGCGGUGAAAUGCUUAGAUAUCACGAAGAUCUCCGAUUGCGAAGGCAGCUUACUAAACUGCCACUGACGUUGAGGCUCGAAAGUGUGGGUAUCAAACAGGAUUAGAUACCCCUGUAGUC
rnacentral:rRNA from 1 species